rnacentral:misc_RNA from 1 species
CCAGGUAGCAUUCCUCUUUGACAAUACCCACCCGCUGGUACGAGCCAGUGCGGGCUAGGCAGUCAUUUUAAGGGUAGCAUUCCUCUUUGACGAUACCCACCCGCUGGUACGAGCCAGUGCGGGCUAGGCAGUCAUUUUAAGAGAAGUGCGAACGCUAAACGAGGGCAGAAAAAGGAUCCCAAGGGACCCCAUGCCCACAUCAGGUUCCGUAUCCAAGAUAACAAGCCACGCUCAAUGUGCCACAACAUCAAUGCAAGCAUUAACAAUGUGGUGCAAAGAGACAGCUUUGAGGUUCAUCCGAUGCCAAUUUAACGACACAAGACGAAAUCAACGCUAAUCAACCGAGACAAUACCCUAACUUAGGUAGGCAACACAGGAAACCCACAAUCUGCUUAGGCGAUACACGCCUAAACA